CNAGGCCUAUCUUACCCUUAUGUGGGUGUGUUGACGCGGAGGCUGCAGCAUGGGGCGGCUAGUUUGUUGGAUGCGCAUGGGGGGGGUGGGAUGGGGGGGGAAAGGGAUGGUUUAAUUAAGGGUAAUGAGUGAAAUUAAGUGGGAGUGAAUGGAUGUUUCCGUGAUUAUUGGGCGUAAAGGGAGCGCAGGCGGUGACUUAAGUCUGAUGGGAAAGCCCACGGGUCAACCGGGGAAGGUCCUUGGAAACUGGGUCAACUGGACAAAGAAUGAGUUGUCCAUUCCCAUGGGUAGCGCCCUUUUGCGUAGAUAUAUGGGGGAACACCAGGGGCGAAGGCGUCUUUCUGGGCUUUUUUUGACGCUGUGGCUCGAAAGGAUGGGCAGCAAACAGGAUUAGAUUCCCUGGUAGCCCAUGCCGUAACCAUGAGUGCUUAGGGGUUGGGGGGCUUCCACCCCCUCGGGGGCCGGCGUUAACGCAUUAAGCACCUCCGCCCUGGGGGAGUACGGGCCGCAAGGCUUUAAACUCAAAGGAAAUUGACCGGGGACCCGCACAAGCGGUGGAACCUUGUGGUUUUAAUUUCGAAACCACCCCAAAAAACCUUUACAGCUCUUGACAUCCUUCUGCCAACCCUAGAAAUAAGAGCGCUCCCCCUCCGGGACAGAAUGACAGGGGGGGCAUGGUUGGUCGCCAGCCUCGCGUCGU
rnacentral:rRNA from 1 species